rnacentral:rRNA from 1 species
GUCCCAGUUCGGAUCGCAGGCUGCAACCCGCCUGCGUGAAGUUGGAAUCGCUAGUAAUCGCGGAUCAGCAUGCCGCGGUGAAUACGGUUCCCGGGCCUUGUACACACCGCCCGUCACACCAUGAGAGUCGGGAACACCCGAAGUCCGUAGCCUAACCGCGAAGGGGGGGCGCGGCCGAAGGUGGGUUCGAUAAUUGGGGUGAAGUCGUAACAAGGUACC